rnacentral:rRNA from 1 species
ACGAGUGGCGGACGGGUGAGUAACACGUGGGUAACCUGCCCUUAAGUGGGGGAUAACAUUUGGAAACAGAUGCUAAUACCGCAUAAAUCCAAGAACCGCAUGGUUCUUGGCUGAAAGAUGGCGUAAGCUAUCGCUUUUGGAUGGACCCGCGGCGUAUUAGCUAGUUGGUGAGGUAACGGCUCACCAAGGCAAUGAUACGUAGCCGAACUGAGAGGUUGAUCGGCCACAUUGGGACUGAGACACGGCCCAAACUCCUACGGGAGGCAGCAGUAGGGAAUCUUCCACAAUGGACGCAAGUCUGAUGGAGCAACGCCGCGUGAGUGAAGAAGGCUUUCGGGUCGUAAAACUCUGUUGUUGGAGAAGAAUGGUCGGCAGAGUAACUGUUGUCGGCGUGACGGUAUCCAACCAGAAAGCCACGGCUAACUACGUGCCAGCAGCCGCGGUAAUACGUAGGUGGCAAGCGUUAUCCGGAUUUAUUGGGCGUAAAGCGAGCGCAGGCGGUUUUUUAAGUCUGAUGUGAAAGCCCUCGGCUUAACCGAGGAAGUGCAUCGGAAACUGGGAAACUUGAGUGCAGAAGAGGACAGUGGAACUCCAUGUGUAGCGGUGAAAUGCGUAGAUAUAUGGAAGAACACCAGUGGCGAAGGCGGCUGUCUGGUCUGUAACUGACGCUGAGGCUCGAAAGCAUGGGUAGCGAACAGGAUUAGAUACCCUGGUAGUCCAUGCCGUAAACGAUGAAUGCUAGGUGUUGGAGGGUUUCCGCCCUUCAGUGCCGCAGCUAACGCAUUAAGCAUUCCGCCUGGGGAGUACGACCGCAAGGUUGAAACUCAAAGGAAUUGACGGGGGCCCGCACAAGCGGUGGAGCAUGUGGUUUAAUUCGAAGCAACGCGAAGAACCUUACCAGGUCUUGACAUCUUUUGAUCACCUGAGAGAUCAGGUUUCCCCUUCGGGGGCAAAAUGACAGGUGGUGCAUGGUUGUCGUCAGCUCGUGUCGUGAGAUGUUGGGUUAAGUCCCGCAACGAGCGCAACCCUUAUGACUAGUUGCCAGCAUUUAGUUGGGCACUCUAGUAAGACUGCCGGUGACAAACCGGAGGAAGGUGGGGAUGACGUCAAAUCAUCAUGCCCCUUAUGACCUGGGCUACACACGUGCUACAAUGGAUGGUACAACGAGUUGCGAGACCGCGAGGUCAAGCUAAUCUCUUAAAGCCAUUCUCAGUUCGGACUGUAGGCUGCAACUCGCCUACACGAAGUCGGAAUCGCUAGUAAUCGCGGAUCAGCACGCCGCGGUGAAUACGUUCCCGGGCCUUGUACACACCGCCCGUCACACCAUGAGAGUUUGUAACACCCGAAGCCGGUGG